CUGGGAACUUCCACGUGCUGCAGGUGCAGAUAAAAAAGUUCAUAAUUGUAUAAUAUGUAGUCAUAUGUAGGAAAAGGUUAUAGAAAAGAGGAUAGAUACCAUUGUGGUUAAAAAAAAAAAGGAAAUAACACAUAGUGAGUAAUUUGUCUCUUUUGAAGUCAAGAAAAUAUCAUUUGUAAUGCCUGAGCAGUGUUACAUGAAAUAUUGUAUAGCUAUGAGUCAAAAACAUAAAUUGCUCUAUUUUUUCCUAUGAAUUUCACUCUCUUAUCAUAACAAAAUAUAUGCUAGCAACAGUUGGGAUAUUAAGUUCCUAUUCUCUUAUUAUUUGAAAAGAAACAGAAACUGUUUCCUUUAGUUCAGCAACAAUAAGAAAGUUUUCUGUGCCAUGAUAGCUUUUACUUAAGGUAAAUUAUAAUUUCAGCCAGAAUACAUUAAAUUCCUACCCAUCAAGUAGCUUUAUUUUUAGCAUGUAUUUUAUGAAUAAUUCUUUAUGAGUUAUGCAAACCUAGGUGAUUCUAUUAAUCAGCUUGAACCUCAAUUAAAUGUUGAUAAAACUGGAAUUAUCCAAAGACAAUUUGAGUGAUCAUUUGAACUUAGUCCUUAUUAUUUGCCUGAUCAUCACAAAUUAGCAUGUGACUAUAUCUAGACACAUAGUAUGUAAGGUCACUAAUGUAUGAGAAACAAAAAAUUAAAGAAGUAUGAUUUGGCUUUAAUAAUUGAUUAGGAUAUAAAACCAAUUUUUAAAUAUUUUCAAAUGCAGUCUAAAAUAAUUAUCUUCAUUUGCCUUGCGAUAUUAAACAGACAUAUUAAACAGGCAUUUCUUUUUGUUUUUCUUCUUAUGGCCUUACCUGCGGCCUAUGGAAGUUCCCAGGCUAGGGGUCAAAUUGGAGGUGCAGCUGCCAGCCUACACCACAGCCAUGGCAGUACCAGAUCUAAGCUACAUCUACGACCUAUGCUUCAGCUUGCGGCAAUGCCAAUCCUUAAUCCACUGAGCCGGGCCAGGGAUCGAACCCGCACACUCACAGACGCUAUGUCGGGUUCUUAACCCACGGAGUCACCACGGGAACUCGUAGACAAACAUUUCUCAAACAUUUAUUUUCUAAGAUGCUUGUGCAAUACUCAUUUUUCUUUUUGUUUCAAAUGAAAUACAUGAAAGAGACAGUUCCACGCAAAUCAUAAUCAAUUCACACUGACAUGAUGGCAUCGACAUUAGCCAUGCCAUAUGCCUGGCUACGAAAAGGAGUGAUGAGUAUGUGCCCCCUGAUUUACUAUGAACCUAUUAAUAAUGCACAUGAAUGGCACAUCCCUGAAAUCUGUGAAUGUACGGAUCCAGUGUUUGACUGAGCUCUUUCCUCACCCUCGCCAGUUUCCUCACGCCUCUUUUAAUUCUCCGCACUGCGGCUACCGCUGCCAGCCAGCGUCCUCAGGCAGUGCACUGAUCUGCACUGCUUCACUCUAGGAUUCUUUGUAUUUUCUAUCGUUUGAUUGAAAUGACAUCACACUCUUCUCGUUGGCCUCUUUCCCUCAGCGUAAUUAUUUCGAGAGGUCCAGGUUGUGUGUAUCAACAGUUAUUUUUUUAUUACUGAGUGGUAUUCUACCCUACCAUUUGUUUUUCAAUUCAUCUGAUAACGGACAUUAAAUAUGAUACUAAUACCUUGUCUAGGAACAUGGUGAACAAGACUUUAUGUCAGUGCAAGAUGUAAUUUAUCUCGGGUUAAAUCCCUGGAAAUCAAAUAGUUGCAUCAAGUGUCAGGAGGAUGCUAAACUUAUUACAAAAAACCUUUUUAAAACUACAAAACUGUAAUCCACAGUGUUGUACAAUGUUACAUUCCCAUCAGCAUUAAAUGAAUGUUCCAGUUACUUAAUAGCCUGACAAAAACGGUCAGGCUUUCGAAGUUCAAGACAUUCUAAUAAGUGGAUAUCUCAUUGCAGGUUUAAUGUAUUUGAAAAUCAUUAAAGAAUAAUGAUAUCAAGCAUCUUUUCAUAUGCGUGGUAUGAAAAGCAUAUGAUUUGGUUGAAUGUCUGUUCAGUCCUUUAUCCAUGUUUACUUGGAUUUCUUGUUUAAUUAUUGAGCGUGUGCGUUUUUAAAUAUACUAUGUGCUUAUAAAUUACAAAUAUUUUAUCCUAGUAAAUAACUGGUUUCUUAAUUCUGUCUUUCAAAAAGCGUUUUUUUUAAUUUGGAUGAAAUCCAACAUAAAUAAAACUUACUAAAUAAGAGCAAAUCCUUUAAAAUAUAGAAGGAUGGUUUGACUUAGGCAUUUUUCCCCCAUUUACAGUGGUACAACAGCCAUAUGCAUUCAGUAGAACAAUACUUUGAAGUUCAAAAGUUAGUCUUUUCCUGAGCUUGUGAUAUGCAGUAACAACUGUUACACUUACAGCCAUUCUGGCCCAUCCAGUCAUUCAGCAUUUCACUUUCAGUAUAAUAUUCAGUAAAUUACUUAAGAUAUUUAACACUUUAUUAUAGAAUGGUCUUUGAGUUUGCCCACCUACAGGCUCAUGUAAAUGUUCUGACGACAUCUAAGUUAGUCUAGGCUAAACCGUGGUGUUGACUCAGUGAGGUAUAUUACACAAAUUAUCAACACACAAUGGGUUUAUCAGAACUUAACCUCGUCUCAGGUUGAGUAAGAUCUGUAUAGUCAAACUUGUUUCAUAUCCUAGACUGCAGUUUAUUAAAAAUAGAUUCUUUGGUUCUCUAUGCUUGUUUCCUGAGCUGUUGUUGACAUACAAAAAAACCUGUACGUACUUACCAUAUUCACCUUGAUGAGUUUAGAGAUCAGUGUAUAUUUGUGAAACUAUCACCACCAACUAUGUCAUAAUGUAGUAUACAUCAGCUAGUGGUAUAUGCAUACAAGGGAAUAAUAUCCAGCCCUACCCAAAAGAAGGAAGUCUUGCCCCUUGCAAUGACGUGAACGGGCCUGGAGAAGGUGAUACUAAGUGAAAAAAGCCAAACACAGAAAGACAAACACUACAUGAUACUACUCAUAUGAGGAUAUAAAAUAGUCCGAAUCAUAGAAGCAGAAAAUGAACCAAUGGUUGUCAGAGGCUGGGGAAAGGGGAAAACAGGGAAGUAUUAGUCAAAAUAGAUUCUUAUUCAUCAAAGAAAAAUAAACUAGAAUAUAAUACAAUACUAUGAUGUACUACCAAAUGGCUUAAAAUGGGAAGCAACAGUAAACAAAACUAAAAAAUAUAAAAUAAAGAAUUAUACAGAAUAUUACCAAGACUGUGGAAAAGCUGAAUAGUUCUGGCGUCGCUGGCAGAAAUAUUAAUUGGUAGCAACCCCUUUGAACUACAUUGGAAAAUUCUGGUAAUGUCUGCAAACUGUAACUUCUAUUCCAGCAACUCCUUUCCUACAUAUAAUUCCACACACACACACAAAUGCAUUUGUGUUUGUCCCAAAGGCACAUACUAGAUGGAAUGUUUGACAAUAUUUGGGAUGGCAACAAACUGGGGACUCCCUACAUGCUCUUCAUUAGUAUCAGGGCGCCAUCACACCAUGGAAUCCUAGAGACAAUGUGAUAAACACCAGGCAACUGCCCACACCAACGUGAACGAACGAAGACAGAUGCAGAGCAUGGAGUAUAUGAUCUGAUUGACAGAAUGCACUCAACUCCCCUCUGCUGGUGAAUGUCAGGAGGAGGGGUGGUGACGGAACGAGGGCGCAGAAGAAACAGCUGAGCAGUGGACACGCUCUUCAUCUCCUGGGGCUGGUUAUGCAGGUGUGUUCCCCUUGUGAGCACUCAAAACGAUGCACAAUGAUCACAAGUACGACUUUCUGUAUAUACUUUAAUAAAAAUAAAUACAAGAACGGAGUAUGGCGGAAAAAUGUUACCCUGGAUAAUGUCCAAUACCGUAAGCAUGGCCCUCCCUUUCACGUUGAACUGCUCGGAAGAAUCUCCGAGGCUGUAUUUUCCUUGCCCUUUUCUUGGGUCUUUCUACGACUGAGUUCAUUGUGCCUCCCAGAGGACAUCUGGCUUGCGGUUCCCUGACUUGCAGUUUUGUGGUUUUUAAGGCAUGUCGUCAAAUUGUCACCCAGUUGAGUUUGUUUCCAGGCAUUCAUUUUGAAUGAGAAAGAAGAUAAUACUUGUGUUCUCAGAAUUCACUAAGAUCUCUUUGGGGGGGGGGACAUUUUGAUUUUCUGUAUGUGGGGAACAGAUUGUAUCCAUCACUCCUUUCUUAAACUCACAGUUCUGUUCUCAACUUUUAAAAGGAAAAGAUUUUAAAAACUGGAUAAAAAGAAAAACACACCUUGAUUAAAGGGAUAAUAAAAAAGUAACUUGUGCAAGUAGAGAUUGCUUAUCUGGUUUCUAUCUCCGUAAGAGCUGUUAGUGUACGCGUGGCAGAAGAAGGGCGGCCUUCCCUCGUGGCACAGAGGGUUGAGGUUCUGGCGCUGUCACUGCAGUGGCUCGUGGUCACUGUUGUGGUGUGGGUUUGAUCCCUGGCCGGGGAACUUCCCCAUGCUGUGGGCAUGGCCGAAAAAAAGGAAGAAAGACAUCCUGAGCAUGAAGAUGUGUUGCUCAUGGUUAGGAGUAGAGGCAAUUUAAGACAAACAGAAUUACUGAUGAGAAUUCUCAAAGACUGGCCACGUAGACUCUCUUAGCUACUCCGGCAUAUUUUAGAUGGAAGCAGGAUCUUGGUAACCAAAUUCGUGGCUCUGUGGGCAGUCUGUACAGGCCACAACGCAGAGCCAUACGUGCACUAUCUCAAGUAUACAUUUAAUAAACAUGUGGUUGAGGGCUUUCCGGAUGAGCCAACUUCUCCAUUUGAUUUUGGAAACCAGCCUCCUCAAUCUAAAGGCAUAUUGGGCUUUGGAGGUUAACAUUCAUUUAUGAAUUUGUAAUAAAUGAUCUAUUUAUCCAAAAUCCAUUCUGGAAGCUAGCUAGCAUUUACUCAAAUUACAGUUUUUAUAUUCUUGGCAAGGCAUUAGGUUCAUGUGCUUUCACAAAGAAUUAUGAUUUGGUGUUUAGAAAUAGAAGAAUAACUUCUUGACUUUGAUGAAUAAUAGGAAAGAAGAAACAAAAUAAAACUAAUAUAUACAUAUGCCUAUAUAUAUGAAUACACAUAUAUAAUACAUAUUAUAUAUAUAUAUGUGUGUGAACAAGUUAAAUUACUCAUAAUAUCCCCAUCUUUAUAUGGCUCUGAGGGUUUCACUGGAUCUGUAUACAAUGACAAUAAUAUGAUGAGGGCCUUUUUUUUCCCAAAGUUUUAAAUACAUAAUGUAGUUCUGCCUUUUUAUUUCUAUUUAAAGUAAAGCUUGUUAUGCCAGACUGUGAGAUGUUUCCAUUUGGUUGAAUCAAUAAGGACAUGACAAUUUUUAUUUUUGCAAGAUGAUAUUUUUUCACAAUUUCCAAACCUCUUUUUCUAAGAGGAGUUAAUUC
rnacentral:lncRNA from 1 species